ACUUGUUUACCUUCGUCGUGGUUUACAAAAUUGAUUUCUUAUCAAAUGCCAUUAAAAAAUUUACAUACAGCGUAAUUUUUAUGGCUAAUAAUCCCAUUUAAACGAUAAGUAGCCCAGUUCACGACUUAUAAAAAUGUACAACUCCAUCAUUCGCCGAGUAGUAGAAAAUGGCUAAAGUUAUACUAGUGAGUCUUUUUGUCAUUGCCUUUAUAUUUACUGUGGCCUCCAUAGCACCCGGACCUCAGGGUGUUGGUCGCGUGUUUAUAAUCUCCACUCCAGAUGACAUUUAAGCUCAUGAUCUCCCAGGUGUUGUGGGCUUAACUAAAUCUUCUGAUUUAAACAAUAAAAAUAACCACUUUUCACAUGAAUUUUAUAUUGAAUGUGUGUCAUAAAUACGUAACUAAUAAAAUUAAGUAAAAUUUGUAAAAAAAAACC